GAUCUUUUUUAGUUUUACCUAAUAGUAACGACCGCCUCCGAGUCAUGCCGCCGCCGCCCACCGGAAGCGUUCCUCGCUGCCGCCACCACCUCCUCAGCUCAUGAGACGAGCGCCCCCUCCUCUUCUACGCCUCCGCAGCUCUUAUUUCGCCACCUUGUUUUCCACCCAGAAGGCCCAUCUCGAUCCGACGCACCCCGCCGUCGACGGCCCCUGCGAAUACCAGCGCGGCCAUACUCGCCAUCACUCCCGACUCUCGCCUCCAAAAUAUGAAAGUAUUGACGGCAUCGGUGGAUUCGGCUCCACUCCGGAAUCAAAACCGCUCAUUUCCAGCGGAAUUACGCAGCAGGCGACCUCGGCGAAGCCCCUCGACCACGUCCGCCUCGCCUCGGUUCUUUCGCAGAAAGACCCCCUCUUGGCGCUCGAUUCUGAGCUGCGACGCUACGAACCUUCUUUGAGCCCUCGGAUAAUUGUAAGUCUGCUGCAAAAUCUCCAAAAUCCUUUGUUUUGCUUCAGGCUGUACAUUUGGGCCGCCAAUUUCGACGCGAAAUUAGCGGCGCAUCCCUCGGUGCGUAGGGUGUUGGGCGAUGUGCUAUGGAGGAAAGGUCCAAUUAUUCUGACGGCGGAUUUGAUGAAGGAGGUUAGGGUUUCCGGGUAUCGCCUCACAGAAGAUGUUCUCUGCAUGCUUUUCUCGAGCUGGGGGAGAUUAGGGCUCGCCAAGUAUGCAAAUGAAAUCUUUGGGCAGUUGCCAGUGCUUGGUCUCCGACCGACAACGCGGCUCUACAACUCAAUGAUCGAAGCUUUGGUCAGGGCAAACUCACUUGAUCUUGCUUACUUCAAAUUCCAACAGAUGCCUUCUGACAACUGCUCGCCCGAUCGGUUCACAUACAAUGCUCUCAUCCACGGAGUCUGCAAACGUGGUAUCGUAGACGAAGCUCUUCGGUUGCUGAAGCAAAUGGAGUGUUCAGGUUGCCCACCCAAUGUGUUCACAUACACAAUGCUGGUAGAUGGCUUCUGUAAUGCCAAGAAAGUUGCCGAGGCAUGUCAGGUGCUCGAGACAAUGAAACAGCGGAAAGUCAGUCCGAACGAAGCCACAUUCCGAGCAUUGAUUCAUGGUACAUUCCGAUGUAUUGGAUCCAGCAAAGCAUACAAAACUUUAAGCAGGUACUUUGAAAAGGCAAAUCUGAUGGAUGAACAAGUUUGUAGCACGAUGCUGCAUUGCCUCUCGACGAACAAUAUGGCACUUGAGGCUACCGAAUUCUUGAACAAAAUGGGUGAAAGAGGGAAAUGUGCAGACACCUUAACUUUCGGUGUUGUUGUGGCAUGUGCUUUGAAGAGCUUGAGAUUGUCUCAAGUGUGUGAAAUGUUGAAUAGUUAUGUCGAAAGAGGUGGGAAGCCGGGAUUCAGUACAUAUCUUAUCGUCGUCAAGGGUUUGUUAGAGGAGAAGCAUGUGGUGGAGGCUAGUCAAUACCUGAGGAAGAUGAUCUUAGAUGGAUAUCUGUCUAGUGUGGAAUCAUACAAUACCUUGAUUGAUUGCUUCGUGAAAUUAGGAAUGUUGGAUAAUGCAAUAGAAAUUUUAGAGCAGAUGCGCAAUCAGGGUUUUCAUCCGAAUCUCAUUACUUUCAACACAUUGAUCAGUGGAUUUUCCAAGACUGGUGAUUCAAGUAAGGCAAGAAGUAUCCUAGUGAAGCUUUUGGAGCAUGGACUUAAGCCCGAUGUCGUUACAUUUAGUGCUUUAAUCGACGGGCUUUGCCAAGCGCACCGCAUAGAUGAUGCUUUCAAUUGUUUCAACGAGAUGGUAGAGUGGGGUAUCUCCCCAAAUGCUAUCACUUACAAUACGCUGAUACGUUCACUUUGCGCGGUUGGAAAUAUCGACAAGUCAAUGAAGCUAUUCCAAAGGAUGAGAUCGGAAGGCAUUGAUCCUGAUAUCUUCUCUUACAAUCCCCUCAUUUUGAGUCUCUGCAGGAUCGAAAAGUUUGAGAGAGCACAGCACCUCUUCAGUGCUAUGUUGAGAUUUGGAGUUGUUCCUGAUGCGAACACCUAUGCUUCUUUCAUUAAAGCCUUGUGUGAUGCAGGGAGAAUCGAAGGCGCUAAAGAGGCAAUGCGCGUGAUGGAACUUCAUAGUAUUUCUCCAAAUUCUCAGUCGUAUAGCUUAGUUGCUGAUACCCUUAUUCGUAUAGGCAAGCCAGCAGAAGCUGAGGAAUUCAUUAGGAAAUGUAAAAGGAAAGGAAUUCGCAUAAGUUCUUCCUCUCCUUUGCCAGAAAAAGAACCUUGAAAAUUUUGACAGGUUUGUUUUUAACAUUUCAAUUAAUAGUUGAAGUUCUUUAACCCUAAAUGAUAGCUUUGGGUUUCGGUAUCAUUCCCAUGUGAAGAAGACAUAACAAACCUAUCUAUCACAUUCGAGUACUCGAAACACCUCUUCGAAAUGUUUGCAAGGGUAUGAAUAUAUACUCCAGCGAUGAUUCAAGGAUCGGAGACACGACUCUUCACGAUCUACGUGAGUGGAUUCCGUUAGGAACAAUGGAAGUACUCCAUGGUUUAGCAAAACUCAUCACGGUAGGUCGGUGAUAGAGGCGACCGAUUUGCCGGACAUCUGACUACUCCGACCGAUCAAUCGGUCAAGGAAUUGAACCUUAGUAACAUAAAUGGACCGAUGGAUCUUAACUGGGCCGAGAUUCAGGUGCACUUGGCCGGCCCAUUACCAUUUUUCCCUGUCCAAGUAAAUGUUACGAAGGAUCUUCAUUCCUUCAAAUUCCUUCCUUUUUCAACUUCUUCAGUCCUUCCCUCCUUAAAUUAAAUCCGCACCUUUUCCGCUGCCUCUCCUCUGUGAUCGGCUAGGGUUUCCAGCAAUGGCGAAGCGGCAGUCCCUUCCAUGGUGGCUCAACGGCUGCAGUAACCCUAGAAGCUCCCCCUGGCUCCAAUCCGUGCUUCUAGUGUUAAAUCAAUAACCAGAGCUAGACAAGAAGACGAAGGCGAUCCUAGAACUGAUCGAAGAAGAAGCCGAGUCUUUCCUACAGAGUGCAGAACGGUACGCCAAGAAGAGACCAGAGCUCAUACACAUGAUUGAGGAUUUCCACUUAGCAAACAAAUUGUUGGCUCAGCGAUAUGAUCGACUCAAGUCAGAAAUGAAAAACCAUCACAAUGUGGAUCUUACACUCCCGAUGUCGAGCGGGUGCUACAUAGGUAAGUUAAUUGAGCAUAUCUAUGUAGCACAAGCAUUGGGCACAUACGACGGUGGUGAAUCUGAAGUGUCAGAUGCGGAAGAGGUGAUGGAGAAUGGAGUUGAAGACAGUGAGGCGAUGAAUGGAGAGGUUGAAUGGUUGAAGCUGGAUAACCAGAUGCUAAUGGACGAAGAACCCCAAUCUUGCUCACCAUUGUGUAUGUAUAGUAGUGAAGAAUCUGAAUUGUG